rnacentral:rRNA from 1 species
UACCAGCACCCCGAGUGGUCUGGACGUUUAUUGGGCCUAAAGCAUCCGUAGCCGGUUCUACAAGUCUUCCGUUAAAUCCACCUGCUUAACAGAUGGGCUGCGGAAGAUACUAUAGGGCUAGGAGGCGGGAGAGGCAAGCGGUACUCGAUGGGUAGGGGUAAAAUCCGUUGAUCCAUUGAAGACCACCAGUGGCGAAGGCGGCUUGCCAGAACGCGCUCGACGGUGAGGGAUGAAAGCUGGGGGAGCAAACCGG